rnacentral:rRNA from 1 species
AUUGAACGCUGCGGCAGGCUUAACACAUGCAAGUCGAGCGAUCGGCGGACGGGUGAGUAAUGCUUAGGAAUCUGCCUCUUCGUGGGGGACAACCUCUCGAAAGGGAUGCUAAUACCGCAUACUCAUAGCUGAGCCUCAGUGGGAUUGGCUAGUUGGUGGGGUAAAGGCCUACCAAGGCGACGAUCUGUAGCGGGUCUGAGAGGAUGAUCCGCCACACUUGGAAUGAUAAACGGCCCCGACUCCCACGGGAGGCAGCAGUGGGGAAUAUUGGAAAAUGGGGGGAACGCCGACCCAGGCUUUCCGCGUGUGUGAAGAAGGCCUUAUGGUUGUAAAGCACUUUAAGCGAGGAGGCGUUACUCGCAGAAUAAGCACCGGCUAACUCUGUGCCAGCAGCCGCGGUAAUUC